rnacentral:rRNA from 1 species
GAUGAACGCUGGCGGCGUGCCUAAUACAUGCCAGUCGAGCGAACGGACGAGAAGCUUGCUUCUCUGAUGUUAGCGGCGGACGGGUGAGUAACACGUGGAUAACCUACCUAUAAGACUGGGAUAACUUCGGGAAACCGGAGCUAAUACCGGAUAAUAUUUUGAACCGCAUGGUUCAAAAGUGAAAGACGGUCUUGCUGUCACUUAUAGAUGGAUCCGCGCUGCAUUAGCUAGUUGGUAAGGUAACGGCUUACCAAGGCAACGAUGCAUAGCCGACCUGAGAGGGUGAUCGGCCACACUGGAACUGAGACACGGUCCAGACUCCUACGGGAGGCAGCAGUAGGGAAUCUUCCGCAAUGGGCGAAAGCCUGACGGAGCAACGCCGCGUGAGUGAUGAAGGUCUUCGGAUAGUAAAACUCUGUUAUUAGGGAAGAACAUAUGUGUAAGUAACUGUGCACAUCUUGACGGUACCUAAUCAGAAAGCCACGGCUAACUACGUG